AGACAGAUGAGUCAGUUCCACACAGACUACAAAUUAUGCAUGCAGGAUAAAACUAUAUUCAUAUUUGCAUUUGACCUAAACUUCAACUUUCAAAAAUAGGUUUAAGAGAAAUUAUUCUGAAAUUCAGAAAUUGUUUUGCAGAAAGGAAGCACUUUAAGCAACACAGCUGAGGAACAAAGAAGUCUCUGCUGCUUCUUAAGGAAGGUCUUCAUACCUGAAAGAACUUGGAAAAAAAGAAAUGUUUAGAAGAAGAACCAAUGAAUCAGUUUGUAUGCUCAAAAAUGGAAAGGUACUCACAGCUGCAAUGCUUAUGUUGAAAUCUCACCAGAAGGAUGUCUUAGCCACAGAAACGGACUUAACGACAGGAAAAUGUUUCCAGUUAGCAAGAAUGGAGAACCUGUUCGAACUCAAGGAGAAAAAUCCACCCUAAGAACACAGAAUGAAAGUUACUAACUGUAGUAUAUGUGAACUAGAACAUGGUAUAAUCUUUUGUGAUAAUUCUUUAGCUGCCUUACAUUUGCACAUGAAGAUUUUAUGUCUGUAUUGAAGACAAAGAAAUCUUCAAUAUGCUGAACAGAUAGACUCUGGAUACACUUGUACUUAAGAGGCUGACAGUUUUUCAUCGGUCUUAUUUACAACUCUGCAAUAGUUUCUUAUAUAUAGUUGAAAUAUUUUAUUUGAGCUGGAUUGUGGUGAAAGCUGUAAUGCAAUCCUAGCAAUACUAAUAACCCUUUUACACUGGAAAAAUAUUUAACAAAUGCUGAUGUUUUAGAAUAAAAAUCUGAGACUACAUAUUGGGGAGAGACA
rnacentral:lncRNA from 1 species